rnacentral:rRNA from 1 species
GACGAACGCUGGCGGCAUGCCUAACACAUGCAAGUCGAGCGAGCAGAUCCCUUCGGGGUGAAGCUAGCGGCGGACGGGUGAGUAACACGUGGGCAACCUGCCUCAUAGAGGGGAAUAGCCUUCCGAAAGGAAGAUUAAUACCGCAUAAGAUUGUAGCUUCGCAUGAAGCAGCAAUUAAAGGAGCAAUCCGCUAUGAGAUGGGCCCGCGGCGCAUUAGCUAGUUGGUGAGGUAACGGCUCACCAAGGCGACGAUGCGUAGCCGACCUGAGAGGGUGAGCGGCCACAUUGGGACUGGGACACGGCCCAGACUCCUACGGGAGGCAGCAGUGGGGAAUAUUGCACAAUGGGGGAAACCCUGAUGCAGCAAUGCCGCGUGAGUGAUGACGGCCUUCGGGUUGUAAAGCUCUGUCUUCGGGGACGAUAAUGACGGUACCCGAGGAGGAAGCCACGGCUAACUACGUGCCAGCCGCCGCAGUAA